rnacentral:rRNA from 1 species
GAUGAACGCUGGCGGCAUGCCUAAGACAUGCAAGUCGAACGGAGGGGCCCAUUGAUAAUUAUUGAAAGUGGAGUGCUUGCACAAAACCGGAUUUAGUUUGAUUUGGAUUUUCCCCUCAGUGGCAGACGGGUGAGUAACACGUGGGUAAUCUACCUUCAAGACUGGGAUAACGUUUAGAAAUGAACGCUAAUACCGGAUAAACCAUAUUUAGAUAACUAGAUAUGUUGAAAGGGGCUUCGGCCUCACUUGAAGAUGAGCUUGCGGUGUAUUAGCUAGUUGGUGAGGUAAUGGCUCACCAAGGCAACGAUGCAUAUCCGAGCUGAGAGGCUGAACGGACACAUUGGGACUGAGACACGGCCCAGACUCCUACGGGAGACAGCAGUUGGGAAUAUUCGUCAAUGGGGGAAACCCUGAACGAGCAAUGCCGCGUGAGUGAUGAAGGUCUUACAGAUUGUAAAACUCUGUUGUGAAGAAAGAAACCUUGCCAUAGGG